AUUGAACGCUGGCGGCAUGCUUUACACAUGCGAGUCGAACGGCAGCGCGGGCUUCGGCCUGGCGGCGAGUGGCGAACGGGUGAGUAAUGCAUCGGAACGUGCCCAGUAGUGGGGGAUAGCCCGGCGAAAGCCGGAUUAAUACCGCAUACGACCUGAGGGUGAAAGCGGGGGACCGAAAGGCCUCGCGCUAUUGGAGCGGCCGAUGUCGGAUUAGCUAGUUGGUGGGGUAAAGGCUUACCAAGGCGACGAUCCGUAGCUGGUCUGAGAGGACGACCAGCCACACUGGAACUGAGACACGGCCCAGACUCCUACGGGAGGCAGCAGUGGGGAAUUUUGGACAAUGGGGGCAACCCUGAUCCAGCCAUGCCGCGUGCGGGAAGAAGGCCUUCGGGUUGUAAACCGCUUUUGUUCGGGAAGAAAACCUCUGGGCUAAUACCCCGGGGGGAUGACGGUACCGGAAGAAUAAGCACCGGCUAACUACGUG
rnacentral:rRNA from 1 species